rnacentral:rRNA from 1 species
GACGAACGCUGGCGGCGUGCUUAACACAUGCAAGUCGUACGGUAAGGCCCUUUCGGGGGUACACGAGUGGCGAACGGGUGAGUAACACGUGAGUAACCUGCCCACAACUUUGGGAUAACGCUAGGAAACUGGUGCUAAUACUGGAUAUGUUCUCCUGCUGCAUGGUGGGGGUUGGAAAGCUCCGGCGGUUGUGGAUGGACUCGCGGCCUAUCAGCUUGUUGGUGGGGUAGUGGCCUACCAAGGCGGCGACGGGUAGCCGGCCUGAGAGGGUGACCGGCCACAUUGGGACUGAGAUACGGCCCAGACUCCUACGGGAGGCAGCAGUGGGGAAUAUUGCACAAUGGGCGCAAGCCUGAUGCAGCAACGCCGCGUGCGGGAUGACGGACUUCGGGUUGUAAACCGCGUUCAGCAGGGACGAAGCUUUUUGUGACGGUACCUGCAGAAGAAGCACCGGCUAACUACGUG